rnacentral:rRNA from 1 species
GACGGAGGAUGCAAGCGUUAUCCGGAAUGAUUGGGCGUAAAGCGUCCGCAGGUGGCAGUUCAAGUCUGCUGUCAAGGACCGGGGCUUAACUUCGGAAAGGCAGUGGAAACUGAACAGCUAGAGUAUGGUAGGGGCAGAGGGAAUUCCUGGUGUAGCGGUGAAAUGCGCAGAUAUCAGGAGGAACACCGGUGGCGAAGGCGGAUCUCUGGGCCUUACCUGACGCUCAGGCGCGAAAGCUAGGGGAGCGAACUGG